UCGUAUGACCAUACAGUGUAAUCAUUCAUGUAAAGGUACUUUAUAAGCUGGAUAUCUAUCGUACAGGAGAGUUUCAAAAUCAAUGACAAAAACGAAUGACUGUGGUACAUGAGAACUUCUGGUAACAAUUAUAUGUUGUGCUCCAUCCACACCUUGUGAUUUCACACCCAGAAAUAAUGAUAUUUCGUUGUUGACACUACUAUAGGUACUGAAGUAUCUACCAUUGGACAGCGGAUUGAAGUGUUGUGUGCUGGGAGGUGGAACUGCAGCAUCUUAAUCAUUAAACUGAAACUGAGGGACCUGAAAAUAAACCGUAGCUGCAUAAGCCAAGGCAGUGAUCUGGUUAUUGUCACCAUUUGCAGGCUUGCAUGUGUAAUAAGCCUUAGAACAGGCAUCUGUUGUAGUAGCAGUGUGGAGAUGGUGGGAGAGGUGCCUAUCCCUGGUGUCAUGGUCUCAGCCCAAGUUACUGCGCCGGAUGAGAGUUUUUUUUUUUCCUUCCUAUCUGUUUUUUUUUUUCUUCUUGUGGAUCUGACUGACCUGUCCUAUAUUAUAUAUAAUUCCUAGCGAGUCACUUGCUGCAGAUGGCUCCGUCUUCCCUUGGCAGACGCAUCUCACCAAGCGCAAGUCUGAGGGCCGCAUGUCAGUUAUUGCUGUGGACAUGACUCUGAAAAUGUAAGUUGAGACCGGUGGCAGCAGCAAGCCAGCAAGACUGCAUCUCCUUCUUCUCCCCCCCUAACAUAGGAACCGAGCAUGGAGCUGCCCCCUAAAUGCACAAACACACGCACACAUACAUGAGCUGUGUGCCCUCAUUCUGCCACCAUUGGGGGAAGAGGAAAAAGCCUGGCAUGCACAACGCAGGAGGAUCAGGAUCAGAGCAUUGAAUCAUCCUGUCACUGUGGACUGGAAUGAGAUUUUCUUCCUGGGGCUGGCUGGGCUGCACAGAGCACAAGCCUCUACAUCUCUAUACUGGAGUCUUGGGUGAGAAUGAGACCAUUUACAAUGCAAAUAGAGGCCUGGGAAAGGGCUGGAUGCUGCUCCAUGCGCCCUGGGAGCUGCUGCGCUAUCCUCUCUCUGCUACACACAUUGGGUGAUUACCACUAUCGGAAUAACUCGCCAGGAGCAAAGUUGGGGAUAAACUUUGAUGGCAACAGAUCUCUUUGGUUGAUUAUGGAGCUGAUUACAGGCGGUGAGGAGGGUGUUUGUUCAGAGAAUCAUGGUUACAAGGCGCCGACUGCUGCUAAAGCCACCCAACCUCAUGUGGAUACUCAGGCUGUACCUGUAGACGAGAAGUGGUUGUUAUCUUUGGUUAUCUAGCUGUAUGAGUUUAUCGGUUUUCAUAAAGCUAGAUAACCGAAAGUAAAAACUCCUUCCAAAACAUCACAAUGCAGGGAAUUGCAUUAUCCACAGGGGGACUGCUGGAAAGUGACUGAACCAAGCCAAACGUAAAAAUAAAACAAUUAGAGACCCAUAUGCAUAUAUAUGUGAGGUGUGUGUAUAUAUAUAUAUAUAUAUAUAUAUAUAUAUAUAUAUACACCACACGAUGGGAGAAUUUCCGUAUGUGUCCUCAUGUUUAAGCACGGAUUUCAAUGAGGACCUGGUUUUAUUAACAAAACCCUCUUGGAAAAUGGAUGGUAAUGUAUAUGCAACUUAUCAUGUUCAGCAUAAAAAGCUACAUAUACUGAUUUGUUUCCAAUUCUGACACUUUCAUUGACAAAUAGUGGGCCUGGCUGGUAGAGAUGCAAUGACAUUCAGAGUAUAUCGUAUACUGCUCUUAGGUAGAUAAAUGGUUAAAUACUGUAGAUCAUACUAUACAAAGCUAUUUGGCAGCUAUAUACAUACAUACAUACAUACAUACAUACACACACACAUAUAUAUAUAUAUAUAUAUAUAUAUAUAAAAUGGUCCAAUAGCUAGAGCCCUAGUCACGUUAGGAUCACUUACAUUUUGGAUGUCUUAUGGUUUUAUACGACUUUUAAAUCUAAAUCCGUUCUUUACCUGUAAGUAAGUGCAUUAAAACAAGUUUGCUCUGAUUUAAUUCCAUCAUUUGGCUUCGUAAUUUUCAUAAAUAAAGAGGGCUAAAGCAGUGGAACAAAUAUGAGAGCUGAAAAAAAUGUACUUAUUCUAUUUAUAAAAUGCAAGAACAGAUGCUUGUCAAUUGUGUGUGGGUCUCCUUGAGGAAGUCAGUGGAGCAUAAAGACAUGAUGGAGAAGAGUUCGCCUCCCCCUUGUCAAAGUGUUAAAAAAAAAUUUCUGUCUCACUCUGCUCCGAGCAUUGGGAAUAAAAAUGGCAUUUACUCCCCAAAAACCCCACGUGUGCUCCUCCUCUACACCCUGCCUGUGGCUGCUGGGUGAGGUUGGGCAGAUCUAUCCAAGAAAAAGCUCUGGCAUCCCAAACUGCAAUAAUAAUACUAAUAAUUAGGAGGUAGAGACAAGUGACACAAAUGGGAAGGGGGAGGAGAGUGGAAGGUGGCUCUGUCCUGCCUAAUUGAUUCGGUUUAAACGGAAUGCAGGAGAUGUGAACGGCUGGACGCUCCUAUUCCCACGCUCGGGGGCAAGUGGCAAUGCCAUGCCCUGGCAGCCUGUGACAGACAGCCUUGCAGGAGGGGGGUGGGGAGGUGAGACACAGCAAGUGCACCAACACCACACUCAUCUCAAAGCUUAAGAAAGUGCAGGCAUUUCCCACCCACAGCCAUCUGCAGGCUCCCCAAUGAGAGCACCAACUGUUUAGCAGUAGCACAUUGUCUGCUUUUUUUGUUCAUUUAAUAACCACCAAGAUGCUUAUGCUAUAAAUGUAUUAUCUAAAAAAAUAAAUGUGUGAUCAGUCCCACAUUGAAUAUAAUGUGCAUUUUUUUAUUUUUUUUAAAGAAAUGCUUAUUUGUAUAUUAGAUUGCAUGGUAUAUAAUAUUGCUAUUGUAAUACAGAAAACCUUAGCAGUUUAUCCAGAAUUACAGGAAAGCAUUUAAAGUGUAAAUCAAACAAUGUCUAUUCAUUGAGUUUAUUUAAUCUGUUUUGUAAAUGAUGUGGUUAUAUGGCUCUUCUUAAAUGCUCAGUGAUAUUACAGCAGUGUUAAAGAGACAUGCAUUUAAACAUCUUGCUUAAUCUAUCCCCUAUGUAUUAGGCACAUUAAAAGAAAGAUUACACCUUCA